GAGAAAUACCUUAGGAAUGAGAACCCAGGUUCGAAAUUUCCCCAAGACACCUGAUGAAGAAGGCUAGAGGGCAUAUCUGCCAAAACAUUGUAUUAGCAACGAACACGAUGAGGACAAAUAUCCGUCAAAUGUAAAUAAUGCAAAUAAUUCCUCAUCACUUGAAUAUAGA